CCGACCUUAGCUCAGUUGGUAGAGCGGAGGACUGUAGUGGGAUCAAUCCUUGUAGCUAUCCUUAGGUCGCUGGUUCGAAUCCGGCAGGUCGGA
rnacentral:tRNA from 3 species